UUCAAAACUUAAGGUUUCAUCUUUUUAUUAUCGUUUUUUUCCUCAAGUUGAAUAUAGAGUUGUUGCAAAGGGAUUUGAGACAGAUAUGUUACGGUUUGAGAUUUGAGAUUUUGCUUUUUUCCUCAAGUUGAAUAUAGAGUUGUUGCAAAGGGAUUUGAGACAGAUAUGUUACGGUUUGAGAUUUGAGAUUUUGGUGUUUUUAGAUUUUAUUGAUCUAUUACCAAAAUAAUAAUCUGUUCAAUUUGUUUGGUUUCGAAUUGUGAUCCCUAUUUGCGAUCUUCUGUUCAAUCUGUUCAUAUGAAGUUUUAAUUUAAUAUCAAUUAGGAUUUUUGAAAUUUCGAUUAUGAAAUAAAAAUUCCAAUUGUUUUUAUUCAGCAGUUUGAUUAUGGAGAAUGGAAUGGAAACCCUAAUUUUAUAUUCGCCAUCAGAAACUGCACAGCAGGUGCAGAACAAAAACUCCAAUUUCGGCUCAGAAAAGCUACAGUUGGUCAACUUCUUCUCUGGCAUACACUUGGAUCAUGUCGGAAGUGAUGGUGCUCAGUUUUGAUUAUAAUGGGGUGUUCAGACCUAAGAAAUGUAUACACGUGUUACCGGAGAAGACGACACAAUGAGGCUGCAGCUGCAACCGCAGUGCAAAAAGGACCUCUUGCAGACACUACAACUCUUGAGACUAUCAACUGGAACAUACAGAUAUGAGUCCUAAAGACUGACGCAACAUUCUAUCAUGAACAUUCAGAAUUAAUCGAAGCUCCUUGAAAGUAAGGAUACCUGAUCCAAAAGAGAGAAUGGUGAGCUUCAGAUGAAGUAUCUCCAGUGAAAGUUAGCAUCGUGUUGCCAUCUAACGAAGUCCAAUUCCUCAUGGCACUCUCAUGCAUAAUUGAUGGCAUUUAGUUUGUGAUGUCAUCAGUGGCGCAAUAAGUGAUAACUGUUGUUAAUUUAUAUAUGUGGUAGUCAAAUGCCAAGAGUUUCCAUUUCAUAGUGGAAGAGCUAUCAUGGUGGCAACGCUUUAGUUAUGUUACUCUAGCUUUAUUUUCAGUUUCUUACUUAAUAAGCUGUAACUUUCUUUAUAGUUACGCUGUUGCAGGUAGUGCCUGUAUUAACUUUUAGGUUCCUGUCCUUUCUUUCAUUGAUAUCACUGAUUUUGUUGCUUUCUUGAAUUUCCAGGUUAUUCAUUUGUAUUCAACAAUUAAAAUAUGACAUAUUUUUAAAAAGCAGAAGGAUGAGUCAUGCUAUUAUCAUUUGGGGAAAGAGAUCCAACCUUAACAUUGAAGGGGAAACAAAGUAUCAGAAAAUAAGUAUAUCACGGUAGUAUGAAAGAGUGCUGCUGCUGCAAGCAAAUGAGACAUGAUUACAACUUAUUUCCAGUUCUUCCGGAGUAAGGAAUAUUCAGAAGUAGCUAAUUGCUUUGUUUUGGAAUUACUGUACACCUUCAAAUAAGAACUAAGGGAUGAUGAAAUUCCGACUAUAUUGUGUUAAGGUUCGAAUUAUAUUAACGGGGACCUAAUAUUCGAAUGUCAUAUCGACAAUCUAAUGUUCGAAUUGCUUCAGUGGUGGAGCAUCAACACUUGAUCUGUUAUUGCUCCGCAGUUAUCCCUUUAUUCCAAGUUUUUCAUGCAUCUUUUUCUUUUUUUGAUAACUUCCCAGCAAAAAUGAGAAUGGUCAAGGCAACCGAAGAAAAAUAACCCAUUAAUUUGCUUUUUUAGUGUUUUGUUUGUAGCAUGCUAGCACAUCUCCAUAAAAAGAAAUCUUUAUGCUAUGUUUCAGUUCAUUCAGUUUACCCUCUUCUGACCUUCAACUAUAAGGUCUCAUGUUAACUGUGACGUUGGUUGAUGGUGAUAAAGGGGAUUCUGAAUGAAUUGGAUGUUGAUUGAUGGUGAUUAAGGGUAAGAUGAAGGAAUUGGAAGAGGAUAUGAGUAAGGAGCUAUCUCUUAUUAUUCCAGAAUGCAAUUGACAUGAAUAUGUUAAAUUUGUCCCCUGCGGUUGAACAACAUUAUUCGUACACGUAAUUGGUCAUUGGAUGUGGUCAUGGACUAAUUAAGUUUCCUGGCUUAGGACGGUGUGCGAAAGAGUGUAGCUGAUAUUUGAAGUUCAUCAAAUGCAUUGGGACAGGGCGAGGCGAAGUCGAGCCACACCAAAUCAAAUCGGGAUGGGGCAAGGCAAGGCGAACCCGACCUUUACCAAAUCAAAUCGGGACGGGGCGAGGUGAAGCCGAGCUUUACCAAAUCAAAUCGGGACGAGGCGAGGCGAAACCGAGCCACACCUAAUUAAAAAUAUAUCGUGAUGGGCGG